rnacentral:rRNA from 1 species
CUACGGGGUGCAGCAGUGGGGAAUAUUGCACAAUGGAGGAAACUCUGAUGCAGCAACGCCGCGUGGAGGAUGACACUUUUCGGAGCGUAAACUCCUUUUAUAUAGGAAGAAGAUGACGGUACUAUAUGAAUAAGCACCGGCUAACUCCGUGCCAGCAGCCGCGGUAAUACGGAGGGUGCAAGCGUUACUCGGAAUCACUGGGCGUAAAGGACGCGUAGGCGGGUUGGAAAGUCAGAAGUGAAAUCCUAUAGCUUAACUAUAGAACUGCUUCUGAAACUCUUAAUCUAGAAUAUGGGAGAGGUAGAUGGAAUUUCUGGUGUAGGGGUAAAAUCCGUAGAGAUCAGAAGGAAUACCGAUUGCGAAGGCGAUCUACUAGAACAUUAUUGACGCUGAGACGCGAAAGCGUGGGGAGCAAACAGGAUUAGAUACCCCCGUAGUC